UGGGGAAUUUUGGACAAUGGGGGAAACCCUGAUCCAGCCAUCCCGCGUGUGCGAUGAAGGCCUUCGGGUUGUAAAGCACUUUUGGCAGGAAAGAAACGUCGCGGGUUAAUACCCCGCGAAACUGACGGUACCUGCAGAAUAAGCACCGGCUAACUACGUGCCAGCAGCCGCGGUAAUACGUAGGGUGCAAGCGUUAAUCGGAAUUACUGGGCGUAAAGCGUGCGCAGGCGGUUCGGAAAGAAAGAUGUGAAAUCCCAGAGCUUAACUUUGGAACUGCAUUUUUAACUACCGGGCUAGAGUGUGUCAGAGGGAGGUGGAAGUUCCGCGUGUAGCAGUGAAAUGCGUAGAUAUGCGGAGGAACACCGAUGGCGAAGGCAGCCUCCUGGGAUAACACUGACGCUCAUGCACGAAAGCGUGGGGAGCAAACAGGAUUAGAUACCCUGGUAGUCCACGCCCUAAACGAUGUCAACUAGCUGUUGGGGGCCUUUCGGGCCUUGGUAGCGCAGCUAACGCGUGAAGUUGACCGCCUGGGGAGUACGGUCGCAAGAUUAAAACUUAAAGGAAUUGACGGGGGUGCAU
rnacentral:rRNA from 1 species